rnacentral:rRNA from 1 species
CGGGUGAGUAACACGUGGGCAAUCUGCCCUUCACUCUGGGACAAGCCCUGGAAACGGGGUCUAAUACCGGAUAACACUCUGUCCCGCAUGGGACGGGGUUAAAAGCUCCGGCGGUGAAGGAUGAGCCCGCGGCCUAUCAGCUUGUUGGUGGGGUAAUGGCCUACCAAGGCGACGACGGGUAGCCGGCCUGAGAGGGCGACCGGCCACACUGGGACUGAGACACGGCCCAGACUCAUACGGGAGGCAGCAGUGGGGAAUAUUGCACAAUGGGCGAAAGCCUGAUGCAGCGACGCCGCGUGAGGGAUGACGGCCUUCGGGUUGUAAACCUCUUUCAGCAGGGAAGAAGCGAAAGUGACGGUACCUGCAGAAGAAGCGCCGGCUAACUACGUGCCAGCAGCCGCGGUAAUACGUAGGGCGCAAGCGUUGUCCGGAAUUAUUGGGCGUAAAGAGCUCGUAGGCGGCUUGUCACGUCGGAUGUGAAAGCCCGGGCUUAACCCCGGGUCUGCAUUCGAUACGGGCUAGCUAGAGUGUGGUAGGAGAGAUCGGAAUUCCUGGUGUAGCGGUGAAAUGCGCAGAUAUCAGGAGAACACCGGGGCGAAGGCGGACCUCUGGGCCAUUACUGACGCUGAGGAGCGAAAGCGUGGGGAGCGACAAGAAUUAGAUACCCUGGUAGUCCACGCCGUAAACGUUGGGAACUAGGUGGUUGCGACAUUCCACGUCGUCGGUGCCGCAGCUAACGCAUUAGUUCCCCGCUGGGGAGUACGGCCGCAAGGCUAAAACUCAAGGAAUUGACGGGGCCCCGCACAGCAGCGGAGCAUGUGUGCUUAAUU